rnacentral:tRNA from 1 species
GUUUUAAUAGUUUAAUGAAAACAUUGGUCUUGUAAACCAAAAAUAAGAAAAACUCUUUUAAAACU